UACGUAUGUCGCAAGCGUUAUCCGGAUUUAUUGGGCGUAAAGCGCGUCUAGGCGGCCAGAUAAGUCUGAUGUGAAAAUGCGGGGCUCAACUCCGUAUUGCGUUGGAAACUGUAUGGCUAGAGUACUGGAGAGGUAAGCGGAACUACAAGUGUAGAGGUGAAAUUCGUAGAUAUUUGUAGGAAUGCCGAUGGGGAAGCCAGCUUACUGGACAGAUACUGACGCUAAAGCGCGAAAGCGUGGGUAGCAAA
rnacentral:rRNA from 1 species